rnacentral:rRNA from 1 species
UGAGGAAUAUUGGUCAAUGGGCGCAAGCCUGAACCAGCCAUCCCGCGUGCAGGAAGACGGCCCUAUGGGUUGUAAACUGCUUUUCCAGGGGGAGAAUUUUUCUGUCGUGACAGGAAUUGACGGUACCCUGGGAAUAAGCAUCGGCUAACUCCGUGCCAGCAGCCGCGGUAAUACGGAGGAUGCGAGCGUUAUCCGGAUUUAUUGGGUUUAAAGGGUGCGUAGGCGGAUUGAUAAGUCAGUGGUGAAAACCUGCAGCUUAACUGUAGACUUGCCGUUGAUACUGUCAGUCUUGAGUAUGGUCAAGGAAGGCGGAAUGUGUAACGUAGCGGUGAAAUGCUUAGAUAUUACACAGAACACCGAUUGCGAAGGCAGCUUACUGGGCCAUUACUGACGCUGAUGCACGAAAGCGUGGGGAUCGAACAG